UGCCUGUUCCUGUCAUCAACAGUAGCUGUUUAUCUUCAUCAACAUCAUCAGUGUCCACAUGUUCACUGCUGUGUUCAGUGGUGAAUGUGUGUGAUGGGACUCUCUCCUGGUACAGGGAAAAUUUUUUAUUGUCCAACAUCAGUGUGUCUGAUCUCAGCACCAAUCUCUCUCUACUUCUUGAGGUGGAAUAUCAGGAUAAAAACACCUACAGCUGUGUGAUCAACAAUCCCAUCAGCAACCAAACUCAACAUCUGGACAUCAGCAAACUCUGUCAGACAUCUCUCUGCCCAGGAUCUUCAAAAUCAGUUAUUUAUCUAGCUGCAUUCAUUUCUGCUUUAGUUCUGGUUGGACUUGCAGGUGUGAUGUACUUUCUCUACAGAAAGCACAAAAAACAAAAAGGAAAUGGUUUUGAACUUGUGUGAAUAGAGUGGAAACAGUCCAGACAGAAGAGGAAGGGGUACUCUAUGCUGAAACAGUAUUUCAUAGACAAAAUGAACAAAAGAAGAAAGCUAAUGGGACAGAGGAAAUAAUAUACUCCAGCGUUGUCACAUGAGACACUGUUCAUUUUAAGGUUACAUUUCACCAGAAUAUGUUUGUCUUGAUUUGUCUGCUUACAAACACUGGAAUGGACAGAAGAAUUUAGAAUAUUAUCUGUGUAGAUGGACUUUUUUUUGUCAUUGGUGGAAGAACCAGUCCAGGAAGACUGAGGAACCCAACUGACUCAAUUUGACUGACUUGUCUUUUGCUUAUUCAAAUAGUCCUGUGACGAACAAAUUUGCAUGGACAUUGAGAGUCACAGUGAACUCAGAAACAAGCUCAGUGAAAUAAACCACAAGAACCCACCCCAUCGCAUACUGUAUUUCCAGUAAACAUUACCUGUCUGUCCUGUAUCAUAGCUCUGCAAGUCCCUACAUGCCCUAUCAUACUAUAUCAUUUCACACAGACACGUUUGAUUCUGCAUCUGCUAAAACUGAAAACAUCUCUUUAUAUUUGCAGUAUUAUGAAAUUAUUGUGAUUCCUGUGUUCCCUUUCUUUAGUAAAAAUAUUUCUCCACACAAGUGUGUUUUCAUAUAACACAUUCAAACAAUAUUUUAUUUCUAUAGGUAAGAUGAUACUUACAUUUAUUUUAUUAGUUCUGAUGACUUUACAGCAUUUCCUGUAAUUUCUGUUUUUCCAGGAUUAAGGUGUGGUCUCUGUGGGCCCUGAUGUGCUCUUGAGUUAGAAGCAGACUCUCACAUUACUGUAUUAAUGAUGCUCAAGGAAGCAUCUAUUAAUGAGUGCAGUUAAUUUCAGUGUAAUAACUGACUAUAACUGACAUACCACACUCACUGAAAUUUUAAGUACAGUUUUAACAGUUUAUCUAUUUUGUUGGUUUAAUUUACAUUGUGUAUUGUCUAUGAAACGAAAGUGGGAACUAUGAAGAAUUAUGAGUUAUUGCCACCUAGUGGCAACAUCAGAGAAUAAUGGUAAAGUGUGUAAUUUAGAUACCUAGAUGUUUUUUUUUUAUUAUUAUUUCUUUUCUUUUUACUUUUGUUCAUUUUGAGGUUUAGCUACAAUAUUUCAAUUUGAAUAC